rnacentral:rRNA from 1 species
GAUGAACGCUAGCUACAGGCUUAACACAUGCAAGUCGAGGGGCAGCGGGAUUGAAGCUUGCUUCAAUUGCCGGCGACCGGCGCACGGGUGAGUAACGCGUAUCCAACCUUCCGUACACUCAGGGAUAGCCUUUCGAAAGAAAGAUUAAUACCUGAUGGUAUGAUGAGAUUGCAUGAAUAGCAUCAUUAAAGAUUUAUCGGUGUACGAUGGGGAUGCGUUCCAUUAGGUAGUAGGCGGGGUAACGGCCCACCUAGCCGACGAUGGAUAGGGGUUCUGAGAGGAAGGUCCCCCACAUUGGAACUGAGACACGGUCCAAACUCCUACGGGAGGCAGCAGUGAGGAAUAUUGGUCAAUGGACGAGAGUCUGAACCAGCCAAGUAGCGUGAAGGAUGAAGGUCCUACGGAUUGUAAACUUCUUUANAAGGAUAAACCCUCCACGUGUGGGAGCUUGUAUGUACCUUAUGAAUAAGCAUCGGCUAACUCCGUGCCAGCAGCC